GACAGAGGGUGCAAACGUUGUUCGGAAUUACUGGGCGUAAAGCGCGUGUAGGCUGUUGCGAAAGUCGGGUGUGAAAUCCCUGGGCUCAACCCAGGAAGUGCACUCGAAACUACGCGACUUGAGUCUCGGAGAGGGAAGCGGAAUUCUGGGUGUAGAGGUGAAAUUCGUAGAUAUCCAGAGGAACACCAGUGGCGAAGGCGGCUUCCUGGACGAUCACUGACGCUGAGACGCGAAAGCGUGGGGAGCAAAC
rnacentral:rRNA from 1 species